GACGAACGCUGGCGGCGUGCUUAACACAUGCAAGUCGAACGGAAAGGCCCUGCUUUUGUGGGGUGCUCGAGUGGCGAACGGGUGAGUAACACGUGAGUAACCUGCCCUUGACUUUGGGAUAACUUCAGGAAACUGGGGCUAAUACCGGAUAGGAGCUCCUGCUGCAUGGUGGGGGUUGGAAAGUUUCGGCGGUUGGGGAUGGACUCGCGGCUUAUCAGCUUGUUGGUGGGGUAGUGGCUUACCAAGGCUUUGACGGGUAGCCGGCCUGAGAGGGUGACCGGCCACAUGGGGACUGAGAGACGGCCCAGACUCCUACGGGAGGCAGCAGGGGGGAAUAUUGCACAAUGGGCGGAAGCCUGAUGCGGCAACGCCGCGUGCGGGAUGACGGCCUUCGGGUUGUAAACCGCUUUCGCCUGUGACGAAGCGUGAGUGACGGUAAUGGGUAAAGAAGCACCGGCUAACUACGUG
rnacentral:rRNA from 1 species